rnacentral:lncRNA from 1 species
AUUGCUUGGACACUCUGGAUGUUUCAAAAUUACUUGCUCUAAACAUUCAGUCCAUCUCUUGAGUCAAAAGUAAUUAACAGUUCAAUGAACAUGCCAAGUGGGGUUUUAUACUAAAAACCCAAGGAGUUUAGAGAAAACACAUCCUUAUAGAAAAUGCAAAACAGACAGAGGACUGUCAAGCCCAGGAGCCUUCUUUGAGCUUUAAGCUCAGCAAACCCAUGUCAAGGACUGAGAUUAAACAGUCUAACUUUUGCUGAUAUGAAAAGGGAUGCUGACAUGGUGAGCUGAUCUGUAUUUUGAAUGGAUGGAAAGAAAUGG